GUUCACCACCUCCCUCACCGUGUUAAAGCCUCUCAAAACUCUAGGUGAAUAUGUACGAUCUGAUACCACGAUCGACGGUCAAAAUCAGCGAACCAAAUAGGGUAAAUCCACAAGAAUGAUGUGAUCUGCGCACACCUGCUAUACGUUUGCAGUGCUCGCAGGUAACAACAGUUCCGAAGGAGUUUAGGGAGUCACGGUGGUUGUAAUCCGGCGGCGGUAUGACGGGGUUAGGUUUUCCAGGCCCGAUCUGUUGUGUUGUCUGUAGAUCGAUCUCAUGCAAUAACAUUUGAACAGAAUCCGGUGCUCUCAAGUUGUCGCGUGACUCUGGUGGUUUAGGGUUUUCAGGACCGCUACAACUAUGACCAUAAUUCUGGUGAUCUCAGCAGCUCCCUGCUUUGUAUUUUGGCGAUCUUUUGGAAACUCGAUGCUGUUGCCAUGACUCCGGAAGCAGCAACACCGGUGUUUGUUACUCUCUCAAUGAGGAUGUAUCAGAGAUUGGGGUUUGAAUCGGUUGAGACAUGGGUAGGGCGGGGUGCGUAAUGAGUCAAGACGGCUCAUUAUUCGAAUACAGGUCAGGCCAAAUCAUGUUGAGGUGGAACAUUUUUUUCAAAAUAUUUUCUCAAUUUUGUAAUCUAUAUUUUGUCAUAUGAGCUCUAUGGUUUCAGUAAUCGCUUUUAUAAAUUUUGUAUUAAAAUAACAGGAUCUUGGAGAAGGAUGUGUGAAACAAGUUACACUUUCGGUGAUUCUUCACCUAUUUGGCCCGUUUUGUCUUCAGCUAAUUCUGCAUAUUCCCUGUUUUGGUUUAUCAGAUGCCAAAAUCCAAAGGGAUUUUAUCGUAUGGCCGCGAGGAUUGCGGGUACGCUUAUUAGAACUUAAUAAGUUUCAAAAAGCUGCAAACAUGUUAAUACAGAAUUAGUAUGUCCCUAUGUGAUUUAGGCAGAGAAGAAAGUCAAAAUAACUUUCAUAUAUCAAAGUCAAAGUGUACGUCUAUAUAUAUGUAAUAUGUGUGUUCUUGAUGAAAACACCUACUGGGUGGAAUCCCAUACUUUUGCUCUUUGUAUGAUUUUUCUACUACUCAUAGAAAACACAUAUGUCAUUAAUUUUUAUUAUUGCUUUUUUUUUUCCAAUUUGCAACUUCUAUGACUUUGGAUCACCCAAGAUGGCUUAUUGUUAUGGCUAACAUGUUUUCCAUCCUUCAUGUAAUUGGUGGCUAUCAGGUAUGACUAACAAUUAUGUGUGUCUUUUAUAUUUUUUUCCUUAAUUUCGCAUUACAUCAUUUGUUGGCAAGACUUUGAUGUCAUUUUUAGUUGUAGCAAAAUGGAUGACUUAGGUAAUGUGUUUAGACCAAGGUCGGUGCACAGCCAAAAUUACUAUUUUGUCCUUUGUUUCAUCCUCCACAUAAAUUACAAGAAUGCCAUGGAGAGAGACUGUGGGUGUUGACUAAUUAUGUGUUAUGAAGAAGAACUCUAAUCUAUGUUCAUGCUUCCCAAAGUUGUCAGCACCGACUGUCGCAACCACGUCACGACAAAAACACAAAAAAAAUCUCUGGGUGUUGCCUAGGCGUGAUGUUCAAUUUAAUCACUCUAUUUUGCUUCUCUCAUUUUCAUCUUCACUAUUUUCAACCGGUUCCGGAAGAAGUUGUAACAUAAUGUUCGGUCGGGACAAUGACGGGUGGUGACACUGCCACAUCAGGUGACCGAGAUUUGUUUGAUGGCGGCCUGAAUAGCAUCGACGAAAUUAGACCCAAAUCUAGGGAUUGACGACGUUUUCCGGCGGUGGUAGUUGUGUGGGUUAUCGGCGGUAUUGGCAGAGUGGUUUCCGACAAUAGUGGUAGGGAGAGGGUGAGAUGAGAGAGAGAGAAGAGUCGGGAAUUCCUAAGAUGUGACGGCGGCUGUUUGGUGGUUGCGGUCAGGUGGUGGUGACAUUUUUAUGAUGGAGUUGCACAGCUGGAAUGUUUUCCCGCCGCAAAAACCGGCCACCACUGGUGGUCCGUCCCCCACUCCUCUGUCUCUUACUCUCCUCGAAUGUUUUUUUUGAAGAAUGGCUGAGGAAGGGUUGGUUUGAUGUGAGGAUGGUUGUAAGUUUUGAAGUUGAACCAUGGUUUAGAACAUGGUUUUGGCAUGUUCUAAGAAUUGGUUUUUAAACUUAGUUUUGACAUGUUUUUAGAACGGUAUUUAAACCGUUUUAUGAAAUAAUACUCAAAAUUAUUAUUUUCUCGGUUGAAUAACACAUAUGCAAAGUUUUGGUAUUUGAAUUUACUUUUUAUCUUU
rnacentral:lncRNA from 1 species